CGCUUCUUUCCUCCCGAGUGCUUGCACUCAAUUGGAAAGAGGAGUGGCGGACGGGUGAGUAACACGUGGGUAACCUACCCAUCAGAGGGGGAUAACACUUGGAAACAGGUGCUAAUACCGCAUAACAGUUUAUGCCGCAUGGCAUAAGAGUGAAAGGCGCUUUCGGGUGUCGCUGAUGGAUGGACCCGCGGUGCAUUAGCUAGUUGGUGAGGUAACGGCUCACCAAGGCCACGAUGCAUAGCCGACCUGAGAGGGUGAUCGGCCACACUGGGACUGAGACACGGCCCAGACUCCUACGGGAGGCAGCAGUAGGGAAUCUUCGGCAAUGGACGAAAGUCUGACCGAGCAACGCCGCGUGAGUGAAGAAGGUUUUCGGAUCGUAAAACUCUGUUGUUAGAGAAGAACAAGGACGUUAGUAACUGAACGUCCCCUGACGGUAUCUAACCAGAAAGCCACGGCUAACUACGUGCCAGCAGCCGCGGUAAUACGUAGGUGGCAAGCGUUGUCCGGAUUUAUUGGGCGUAAAGCGAGCGCAGGCGGUUUCUUAAGUCUGAUGUGAAAGCCCCCGGCUCAACCGGGGAGGGUCAUUGGAAACUGGGAGACUUGAGUGCAGAAGAGGAGAGUGGAAUUCCAUGUGUAGCGGUGAAAUGCGUAGAUAUAUGGAGGAACACCAGUGGCGAAGGCGGCUCUCUGGUCUGUAACUGACGCUG
rnacentral:rRNA from 1 species